CAGAAGGGAGGCAGCAGGAGGGAAUCUGAAACAAUGGAAGAAAGGAGGAGGGAGAAAAGGAGAGAGAGGGAAGAAGGGUUUCGGCUCGUAAAGCUCUGUUGGUAGUGAAGAAAGAUAGAGGUAGUAACUGGCCUUUAUUUGACGGUAAUUCCUUAGAAAGUCACGGCUAACUACGUGCCAGCAGCCGCGGUAAUAAGUAGGUGGCAAGCGUUGUCCGGAUUUAUUGGGCGUAAAGCGAGUGCAGGCGGUUCAAUAAGUCUGAUGUGAAAGCCUUCGGCUCAACCGGAGAAUUGCAUCAGAAACUGUUGAACUUGAGUGCAGAAGAGGAGAGUGGAACUCCAUGUGUAGCGGUGGAAUGCGUAGAUAUAUGGAAGAACACCAGUGGCGAAGGCGGCUCUCUGGUCUGCAACUGACGCUGAGGCUCGAAAGCAUGGGUAGCGAACAGGAUUAGAUACCCUUGUAGUC
rnacentral:rRNA from 1 species